rnacentral:rRNA from 1 species
AUACGGAGGAUGCGAGCGUUAUCCGGAUUUAUUGGGUUUAAAGGAAGCGUAGGUGGAUUGUUAAGUCAGUUGUGAAAGUUUGCGGCUCAACCGUAAAAUUGCAGUUGAAACUGGGAGUCUUGAGUACAGUAGAGGUGGGCGGAAUUCGUGGUGUAGCGGUGAAAUGCUUAGAUAUCACGAAGAACUCCGAUUGCGAAGGCAGCUCACUAGACUGUUACUGACACUGAUGCUCGAAAGUGUGGGUAUCAAACAGGAUUAGAUACCCUGGUAGUCCACACAGUAAACGAUGAAUACUCGCUGUUUGCGAUAUACAGUAAGCGGCCAAGCGAAAGCAUUAAGUAUUCCACCUGGGGAGUACGCCGGCAACGGUGAAACUCAAAUGAAUUGACGGGG